CUUAAAUGGCCGCGGUAUUUUAACUGUGCUAAGGUAGCAUAAUAAUUAGUCUCUUAAUUAGGGUCUUGAAUGAAUGGUUGGACGAGAAAACAACUUUAUUAAAAAAAUUUUUUCUUAAUUUAAUUUUUUUGUUAAAAAGCUUAAAUUUUUAAAUGGGACGAUAAGACCCUGUAGAUCUUAACAAAUUAUUUAGGUUCAUUUUUUUGUUGUAUUAAUUUGUUUCUUAAUUAUUUUUGUUUUAUUGGGGUGAUAAAUAAAUUUUUUAAACUUUUUUUAAAUUAAACAUUUAUAUAUGGCAAUUUUGAUCUUUACAUUUUUGAUUAAAAGAAAAAGAUACCUCAGGGAUAACAGCGUUAUAUAUUUGGAGAGUUCUUAUUGAUAAAUAUGUUUGCGACCUCGAUGUUGGAUUAAAAUUACUUGUGGAGCAGAAUAUACAAAGUUUAGGUCUGUUCGACCUUUAAAAUUUUACA
rnacentral:rRNA from 1 species